rnacentral:tRNA from 1 species
GCGGGAGUAACUCAGUUGGUAGAGUUCCUGCCCUCCAAGCAGGGUGUCGCGGGUUCGAGUCCCGUCUCCCGCUCCA